rnacentral:misc_RNA from 1 species
UACAAGUGAGGCUACCGAACGUUGGAAACAGCGGUUAGGAGCUUACACCCACCCGUGUUACAUACUAUUGUUGCUUUGGCGGGCCGUGGCCUCCACUGCGGGCUCUGCUCGUGUGUGCCCGCCAGAGAACCAAACUCUGAAUGUUAGUGAUGUCUGAGUACUAUCUAAUAGUUAAAACUUUCAACAACGGAUCUCUUGGUUCUGGCAUCGAUGAAGAACGCAGCGAAAUGCGAUAAGUAAUGUGAAUUGCAGAAUUCAGUGAAUCAUCGAAUCUUUGAACGCACAUUGCGCCCUGUGGUAUUCCGCAGGGCAUGCCUGUUCGAGCGUCAUUUAACCACUCACGCCUAGCGUGGUAUUAGGGUACGCGGUCUCGCGGCCCUCAAAAUUAGUGGCGGCGCCGGUGGGCUCUAAGCGUAGUACAUACUCCCGCUAUAGAGUUCCUCCGGUGGCUCGCCAGAACCCCCAAUUUUUACAGGUUG